CAGGGAGACAACAAAAUGUUUAAUAUUAUUAUUUUGUCACCUUAGGUCGAUCGGUAUCUCACGUUUUUAAUUUAUUAAGAAUUUCAUUUCCUAAGUUUUUCUAGGUCACACCCAUUAUUUUUCCUGGGCCAUUAGCUCAGGUGGUUAGAGCGCACCCCUGAUAAGGGUGAGGUCCCUGGUUCAAGUCCAGGAUGGCCCAUACUCUAUGUUGGGGGUAUAGCUCAGUUGGUAGAGCGCCUGCUUUGCAAGCAGGAUGUCAGCGGUUCGAGUCCGCUUACCUCCACUGAUUACCACCUCUUCCAUAAUCGGUAGAAAGGAAUUGUUUUGAGUUGUGAUCAAAUUCUGAAAGAAUCUAGCUUCCUAAUGAAAUCAUUAAGAUGCUGGACUCAUUGAAUUAAUUUCAUUGUUUUCAGAGAACCUUGACAACUGCAUAGAUUAUUUUUAAAGACAAUAAGCAUCUUUAAUGAUGCAGAUUUAUUAUUUGUGCGAAUGCAUUAAUAACAAUUCUAUUAAGCUGAUGCUUCAAUUUUUGAAGUUAUU
rnacentral:tRNA from 1 species